UACGUAGGGACCAAGCGUUGUUCGGAUUUACUGGGCGUAAAGCGCACGUAGGCGGAUAUUUAAGUCAGGGGUGAAAUCCCAGAGCUCAACUCUGGAACUGCCUUUGAUACUGGGUAUCUUGAGUAUGGAAGAGGUAAGUGGAAUUGCGAGUGUAGAGGUGAAAUUCGUAGAUAUUCGCAGGAACACCAGUGGCGAAGGCGGCUUACUGGUCCAUAACUGACGCUGAGGUGCGAAAGCGUGGGGAGCAAACAGG
rnacentral:rRNA from 1 species